GAAUACAGACGAGGCAUGUAAGAAAACGAUGUUUUAAGAAAUAUGUUUUAUGCUAUAUCAUUUCUUUUACUGAAAACAAUUGGACAAACAAACAAGAAAAGCCAAGGAAAAUGCGACCGGGACGUGGAAUCGGCCCGUCUGUGAGUGGAAGGAUCACACUCCCAGCUGAGAUAGAAAUAAAGCCACGCGUGCCUCUGUUUCUAUGCGUGGUAAAAUAAACAAGCAACACUUCGAGGAACUAUUGAUUCUGUUAUUAAAACACAGCCUGUUUGGUUUGCCAGAUCGUAGCCAUUAUUAAUGCAUUAUUAAUUCUAUGUAAGUGCCUGCUUGUCAGAUCCAUUAACCGGGGGAGUAAUUGCCGAGGGAGAGAGCUCAGAAGGUGUGUCACGCUGCUCGCUCGGUCUAGGUGGAACGAAGCGGAGGGAAGCCACGCGGAGCAAUGGAGGCAGCCCUGUAAGGCAGUGUCCGUUUCUGUCUGUGGCCAAAAUGGCCAGGGAUGUUUUUGGCCAAGCUGAUGAGACAGAGAUUGGAAGAGGAAAGUUUCAUACUGAUACUUCGGCUGGCUGGCUGCAGAGUAACCUGCAUUUUGGGCCAUUUUUGGUUAAAUGUAUGAAAGCAAACAUCCACAUAAAGGCUGAAAUGGUUUGUCAAUGACCCAGAGGCUGUUCCCGGGAUCUUUUGAGCCCUGGGAACCUGGAGGUACCUGCAGAGCUGAGCAGAUUGCUUCCGCAUCAAGGAAACAAGCGGGACUUGUGAGAAGGGGCGGUUUGUGAGGCCCCUGGCUGCAGGCACUGGAGGUCCUGCCACCCAGCGGCACAAGGCUGCCCUGCCUGCUUUAAGGAGGAGACAGGACUAUUGACUUGGUCCGAUUUGCCUGAACUUCUUGAGUUUCUCACUGCCCGUGGAUUCCAGUUGCUUUAACACGGGAAAUCGGACCUGCUGGAGGAGACCCUGCGCUGUCCUCAAAGACAACACUGUUUCCACUAACGCAAGGAUACAGCGUGAUUGAAACAGUGCCCCACCCAUAGGGUGGCUGGCAGAUUGAACGUGGUGCUCUGUGGAAAAAUGUGGUCUGGCCAUACCCAGUGCUAUGCACGUGUUUACCACCAUUGCCUCCCCUUCUCCCAUCUCAUGUUAUCGGUCUGUAAAGUGGGUGUCAUGAGUGACUUCUGGUAUCUGCUGAGGGGGGUGGUGUCUGGGUGAGGCCCGAGUAGUUGGAGGCUUUGGUUUUUGCAUAAUGGGACCCCUAUUUUCCACUUAACCCGAACCAAAGCGGAAUCAUGGAAGGCCUCAAUGCAGGCAGCCCUGAGGGCGCAAGAAAGUUUGCUUUGUUCAAAGGGCUCCUGGGAGCCGGGCGAUGGGUGACCACGCCAGGAAGCACCUUGACUUGGGUACUUUGCAGAAUCUUCCUCCCAGCGCACCUAGACUUGCCGCUGUGUGGCAGCUUUGACUCCCAGCCCAGUAACAAACACGUCCAUGACGCUGUGGACUGACAGAGACCGCAGAGCUGGUCAACGUGAGGAAUGGGGCCCGCGCCCCGGGGGACCUCCAAGGCUGGGGGCACGGGAGCAAGCGGGUUACUCAGGCCCACACUAACCGCACUUGUAACUUCUCUCCCUGAGUCAAGGCAAGUUUUCAUUCAAGCCAACGUAACACAAUCUUGCCAAUGACUGGAAAAAUAACUAGCUUUGCAAAAAUUUAAAAAGACUCAGAUAAUACUCAAAUUUGGAGCCCUAAUGAAGUGUGUAAACCUCAUGUCCACAGACUGUGUUACUGGAGCCAGAGGGGGAAGAUCCCUGAAUCAGCCCGCCUGGGGCCGCCCACGGCUGCUCCUUGCGUGGGAGGUGGCCCCAUGCGGCCGCUUCUCUGGGGGACAGAACAGAAACUGGGGCGAGUUUGGCCCAGCCGCAACAUCCAAGUCUGUGUUCAUUUAAAACUAACUGCCUUUGAUUGCAUUUGACAAAAACAUUGGUCCAUGAUUGACUGGAAAUAAAAUAAUGAGGGUUUGAGACCCGGGCUCCGACCUCCCUUCUGUUCUGGGCCCGUGUGAGGCCGGGGACGGCCCGGGCAGGUGUCAGCAGCAGGAGUGUUUUCCGGGGUCCCUGUGGAGAACGUCUCUCCGCAGCUUCUCCUGGAACGUUGUCUCCGAGGCUCAGCAGCCUCCUCACACCCCCUGGGUCCACACCUCAGACCCAUCUGCCCGCCCGGCCAGCCUGCCUCGUCGUUCCCCGCGGGCUCGUGCCUCAACAGGCAGCGUGUGGAUGCCACCGUCACCUUCACGGGAGAGGCAGGUCCGCCCUGGAGCUGAUCCCCUGAUGAGGAAAUGAAAACACAGAGAGGAGAAGGCACUCGCCUGAGGUACCCUGCCAGACGCUGGGGACGGGCUCACACGCAGCGGCCCAAAGCCUGCUGCCUCUCGGAGCAGCGGGGGUCUGGGACGGAUAUUGAGGCACAGGGCCUUGGACGUGCCCGUGGAGCUGCUCAGCCAGUGGGGAGUUAGCCAGCGUUUUACAGGCAAAGCUGCGGAGCUGUGCUGGUGCCUGUGUAGAGCGGUUGAAGAAGAAAUGAUCAGGAAUUGGAGUUAACAGCUUUUCUGUGGGGCAGUUCGACAUGAAGAAAAUACCUGUUCAAGGACUUUGAAAUAAAGAUGAAAAAGAGGCCACACGUCCUUACAUACCUGAUAUUUCUUUUUUUCUUUCUUUCUUUCUUUCUUUCUUUCUUUCUUUCUUUCUUUCUUUCUUUCUUUCUUUCUUUCUUUCUUUCUUUCCUUCCUUCCUUCCUUCCUUCCUUCUUUCCUUCCUUCCUUCUUUCUUUCUUUCCUUCUUUUUUUCUUUCCUUUCUUUCUCUCUCUCUCUCUCUCUCUUUCUUUCUUUCUUUCUUUCUUUUUUUUUUUUGAGACAGUUUUACUCUGUUGCCCAGGCUGGAGUGCAGUGGCUCAAUCUCAACUCACUGCAACCUCUGCUUCCUGGGUUCAAGUGAUUCCCCUGCCUCAGCCUCCUGAGUAGCUGGGAUUACAGGCGCGUGCCACCACACCCGGCUAAUUUUUGUAUUUUUAGUGGAGAUAGGGUUUCACCAUGUUGGCCAGGUUGGUCUCAAACUCCUGACCUUAAGUGAUCCACCCGCCUUGGCCUCCCAAAGUGCUGGGAUUACGGGCGUGAACCACCGCGCCCGGCCUGAGCCACCGCACCUGGCCGUUUUUUAUGUUAUGUGUAUCGUAUGCUGUGUUCUUACAAGUAAGCUAGAGGAAAGCAAAUGCUAUUAAGCAAAUCUUAAGGAAGAGAAGACACGUUUACAGUUCUUAAAAUGGGAGUGGAUCCUCAUAAAGGUCUUCAUUCUGGCCGUCUGCCGGUGGAGCAGGCUGAGGAGGGGAAGAGGAGGAGAGGCUGGCUGUGCUGUCUUGGUGGAAGAAAACCCGUGUAUCAGUGGACCUGCCCAGCUCACACCUGUGCUGUUCACAGGCCAACUGCACUUGAGUUGUUUCUCCUGAGAACAA
rnacentral:lncRNA from 1 species